rnacentral:misc_RNA from 1 species
GAUGAAGAACGCAGCGAAAUGCGAAAAGUAAUGUGAAUUGCAGAAUUCAGUGAACCAUCGAAUCUUUGAACGCACAUUGCGCCCGCUGGAACUCCGGCGGGCACGCCUGUCCGAGCGUCAUUUCAACCCUCAGGCCCCCCUUCGCGGGCGGGCCUGGUGUUGGGGCCCGGCCGCUACCCUGCGGCCGUCCCCUAAAUUCAGUGGCGGCCUCGCCGUGAUCCCUUGCGUAGUAAUGCACCUCGCACCGGAGAGCGCCGUGGCCACACCGUAAAACCCCCAAUUUUCAAUGGUUGACCUCGGAUCAGGUGGGAAUACCCGCUGAACUUAAGCAUAUCAAUAGCGGAGGA